rnacentral:rRNA from 1 species
UUAGUGGGGGACAACAUCUCGAAAGGGAUGCUAAUACCGCAUACGUCCUACGGGAGAAAGCAGGGGAUCACUUGUGACCUUGCGCUAAUAGAUGAGCCUAAGUCGGAUUAGCUAGUUGGUGGGGUAAAGGCCUACCAAGGCGACGAUCUGUAGCGGGUCUGAGAGGAUGAUCCGCCACACUGGGACUGAGACACGGCCCAGACUCCUACGGGAGGCAGCAGUGGGGAAUAUUGGACAAUGGGGGGAACCCUGAUCCAGCCAUGCCGCGUGUGUGAAGAAGGCCUUAUGGUUGUAAAGCACUUUAAGCGAGGAGGAGGCUCUUUUGGUUAAUACCCAAGAUGAGUGGACGUUACUCGCAGAAUAAGCACCGGCUAACUCUGUGCCAGCAGCCGCGGUAAUACAGAGGGUGCAAGCGUUAAUCGGAUUUACUGGGCGUAAAGCGCGCGUAGGCGGCCAAUUAAGUCAAAUGUGAAAUCCCCGAGCUUAACUUGGGAAUUGCAUUCGAUACUGGUUGGCUAGAGUGUGGGAGAGGAUGGUAGAAUUCCAGGUGUAGCGGUGAAAUGCGUAGAGAUCUGGAGGAAUACCGAUGGCGAAGGCAGCCAUCUGGCCUAACACUGACGCUGAGGUGCGAAAGCAUGGGGAGCAAACAGGAUUAGAUACCCUGGUAGUCCAUGCCGUAAACGAUGUCUACUAGCCGUUGGGGCCUUUGAGGCUUUAGUGGCGCAGCUAACGCGAUAAGUAGACCGCCUGGGGAGUACGGUCGCAAGACUAAAACUCAAAUGAAUUGACGGGGGCCCGCACAAGCGGUGGAGCAUGUGGUUUAAUUCGAUGCAACGCGAAGAACCUUACCUGGCCCUUGACAUAGUAGAAACUUUCCAGAGAUGGAUUGAUGCCUUCGGGAAUCUACAUACAGGUGCUGCAUGGCUGUCGUCAGCUCGUGUCGUGAGAUGUUGGGUUAAGUCCCGCAACGAGCGCAACCCUUUUCCUUACUUGCCAGCAUUUCGGAUGGGAACUUUAAGGAUACUGCCAGUGACAAACUGGAGGAAGGCGGGGACGACGUCAAGUCAUCAUGGCCCUUACGGCCAGGGCUACACACGUGCUACAAUGGUCGGUACAAAGGGUUGCUACCUAGCGAUAGGAUGCUAAUCUCAAAAAGCCGAUCGUAGUCCGGAUUGGAGUU